AAAGAAUCAUGUCAUUUCUCCCUCUACCAUUGUGGCUACCACUGUUGACUCUCCUAUCUCCAGCCGCCACCACCACUUGAACCACCUCCACACAAAAUCCCUUUCUCUCAUCAAAUCUUUGCCUUCUCUUCUGAUCCAAACUUCUCUCCUCCUUUCUCUGCUUCUCAUGUUCCUCUUCUCUCCACUAUCACUAAAAUGACGUUGACGUUGCCACUCCUAAAAUCGA
rnacentral:misc_RNA from 1 species